GGAAAAACCAGUACUGAUUACCAGGGCCCCAAAGGAAGAGAGGGCCCUUGAAAAGUUGCGAGCAGGAACAGCAACAACACAUGUGAUGGUCUAACUCUCUGUCUGUCUAUAUCACAGCAAUAUUCAGAGGUUCAGUCUAUCAGGAGGCUUUACUGUGUGACUGGAUCUUCUCAGCACAGGUGAAUGCAUUUCUUUAGCUUGCUCAUUGUGAUGCAGUACUGGAAGUGUUUCAGAUGUUGACUCUGCACAGUCAGCGUCACCUGUAUGUGUAUUCUCUACUGUCUCUUUUGUUGUUAGCAGACUUCUCCGGUUUCUCCUCAGGAUCUGACCAUCUUCUGUCCUGACAGUGUAAGACCUUGGCUUCACCUCCUCCAGGACUGUGGCUCUUUUAGUCCAGGUAUUGGAAUCCUCAAGUCUUACUGUGUCAUUAUUGGAGAGUGGUUCUAGGCUUUUUGAUGCCUUGUCAUAGUUCGCUUUUUGUCUCAGUUUCAGGUUCUUUUGUUUUCUUUUCAGGUACUUUCUCUUGUUUUGUGUUGCCAAGCAUGGAAGUGUGGUUUGUGUGGUAAUCUGUGCCCCAUCAGUAUUUCAGCAGGAGACACACUGUGUUCUAGUGGAGAAGCACGGUAAUUCAGCAGAGCUAAAUAAGGAUCUGAUUGACUGUCCACUGCUUUCUUGAGUAGUAGUUUCACAAUGUGAACUCCUUUCUCUGCCUUUCCGUUC